rnacentral:rRNA from 1 species
CUUUCUUUGCUGGCGACCGGCGCACGGGUGAGUAACACGUAUCCAACCUGCCCUUUACUCGGGGAUAGCCUUUCGAAAGAAAGAUUAAUACCCGAUAGCAUAAUGAUUCCGCAUGGUUUCAUUAUUAAAGGAUUCCGGUAAAGGAUGGGGAUGCGCUCCAUUAGGUCGUUGGUGGGGUAACGGCCCACCAAGCCUUCGAUGGAUAGGGGUUCUGAGAGGAAGGUCCCCCACAUUGGAACUGAGACACGGUCCAA